GAAAAAACCCCUCCUCCAAAAAUAAGUCUAAGCUCAACCUUAGAAAGAUUUAAUACAAGCAAGAAAGAAAUCACCUUACAAGAUCUACAGCUUGAAGUAAAAAAUGUCGAAAGAGAAAUUAUAACUUUAAAACAAAUAAGUCAUGAACUACAAAAUGAAAACUACGAAAUAAAACAAGAUUUAAUCAACCUAAUGGAAAGAUUAGGACAACCCUCUAACCAAGAACUGUCAUAACAGUCUGAUGAAGAAUCAGUUAAGACAAGAGAAGAAGAAGAGCAACCUAAAACACACUCUGACAAAGAAGAACAGUCAAGUAAUCAAAAAACGAUCAACCUAAUUAAACAGUUAAAACUUAGAAAAUGGUAUUCGAAAGUCAACAUUUUUAUUGGUGACUUUAAAUUCAACACCAUAGCCCUAUUUGAUUCGGGUGCAGAUCUUAAUUAUACACAAAAAGGUUUGAUUCCUACCAAAUAUUAUAAGAAGUCAAAAGAAUCCUUAGGAACUACUUCUAGUAAACCACUGCAACUACAGUAUGAAAUUCGUAAAGCUCAUCUGUGUUAAAAUAAGGUAUGUUUCAAAACAUCUUUUGUCCUAAUAAAAGAUAUAACAGACGAAGUCAUUUUAGGUUUACCAUUCAUCACCUUACUCUACCCCUUUAUGGUAGAAUAUGAUGAUAUUACCUCUAAGUACAUGGGAGAAAAGAUAAAGUUUGAAUUUCUAGCAAAACAUGAAUUACAAGUCUUAAAGGGAGAAUGAUUGCACAGCAAACAACACGAUGCCAAAAGAAGAAACCUACAUGCAGCAACCAAACGGAGAAUGAUUGCACAGCAAACAACACGAUGCCAAAAGAAGAAACCUACAUGCAGCAACCAAACGGAGAAUGAUUGCACAGCAAACAACACGUGAGCAGAAGAUGUAGUUGCAGCUAAAGUAAUUAAAGAAGAACAACUGGAAAUAAACAAAAUAAAACAAAGAGCUUGUAGGCAUGUGAAGAUUGGCAGCAGU
rnacentral:lncRNA from 1 species